GGCUUAACACAUGCAAGUCGAGGGGCAUCAGGAAGAAAGCUUGCUUUCUUUGCUGGCGACCGGCGCACGGGUGAGUAACACGUAUCCAACCUGCCCUUUACUCGGGGAUAGCCUUUCGAAAGAAAGAUUAAUACCCGAUAGCAUAAUGAUUCCGCAUGGUUUCAUUAUUAAAGGAUUCCGGUAAAGGAUGGGGAUGCGUUCCAUUAGGUUGUUGGUGAGGUAACGGCCCACCAAGCCUUCGAUGGAUAGGGGUUCUGAGAGGAAGGUCCCCCACAUUGGAACUGAGACACGGUCCAAACUCCUACGGGAGGCAGCAGUGAGGAAUAUUGGUCAAUGGGCGCUAGCCUGAACCAGCCAAGUAGCGUGAAGGAUGAAGGCUCUAUGGGUCGUAAACUUCUUUUAUAUAAGAAUAAAGUGCAGUAUGUAUACUGUUUUGUAUGAAUUAUAUGAAUAAGGAUCGGCUAACUCCGUGCCAGCAGCCGCGGUAAUACGGAGGAUCCGAGCGUUAUCCGGAUUUAUUGGGUUUAAAGGGAGCGUAGGUGGACUGGUAAGUCAGUUGUGAAAGUUUGC
rnacentral:rRNA from 1 species